UUAUGUGCAUUAAUAACAGUCUCAAACAUUUUUAUUUUCACUUAAAGAUUCUUUACGUUGUAAGGAAAAAAACACAACUCUUAAACAUGGGCUCUAAUGAAGACAUCGGGGCUACUGUGUUCAACUAUUUCCCCCUUUCCUCCAACUCUUUUUUAGGAUUGGUGGAGGGUAAAGAUCGGAAGUAGUUUAUUUAUGCUAAUGAAGGAGUUGGGGGUUGUAGAUAUUUACGUUCAACGGGAGCCGCCCUUCAUUCACCCACAUGGUUAUAGGCAGGUUGUAUUCGCGCCACUUUCGCAAUUUACUAUGAUUUACAAAGUCCGGUCGGGGCGCAUUUCACACUCGUUUGGAUUUGCUUCAUGCCCUCUACUUCAGCAUAAUAGCAAAUUAAAAGUUUGCGGCGUACUUUUCGCACAUUUGCCUGUAACGUUGACAGUAAACGAACUUUCGUGAUGUUCUCUCGUCAAGCAAUUCGUCACUGUUGAAUACUCAGUUUGCCGUAUUGACCCAUGGAUGAAAGCCCUUGCAGAAUUUCACCGUUUGCAGUCACAGUAUUGCCAAAGUGCUUACAGUGCAGGUAGUACUAUGGAAUAUCUACUGCAGUGGAGGCACUUCUAGCAAUACUCUGGCCAUGGCGAACUAGUGUUGGAAUUUUGAUGUUCAUGUUGACACCUUCAAUAACAACUUUGUGCUAAGGUGCAUCUAGUGCAGAUAGUGGAGUAGACUAGCACCUACUGCCCUAAGUGCUCCUUCUGGCAUGAGGGCCUGUUAUAUGCAACUAAAUACACGUGGAAAUGUUGUCUUCUGUUGUCACGUUAAUUCCUUAAUUUUUGCAGUUCUCUGCUAGUUUUGCAUAGUUGCACUACAAGAAAACAUGAGUUGUGCAAAUCUAUGCAAAACUGAUGGUGGCCUGCUUUGUUCACCACCUUUCCCCCCAAAAAACAAAACUUUAAAAAAAAUUGGUGUGUGGGUGUAUGAUUGGUGUCCCAUAUUCAUGCUGGUGUCCCCCCUCCAUCCCUAGUCCUUCUUUACAGAUGUGUGUUGUGUGAAAUGAGUUUCAGCAGUGCUAAAGUGCUUAUAGUGCAGGUAGUUUUUAAAGUCCUCUACUGCAGUGUGAGCACUUGAAGUACUUCUAGCUAUGUGCGUCUGGAUGGGAACACCAUGGUGUCGGACCCACUCCUUAUCCGCUGGCCGGGUACUGCUAGUUUUGCUGGUUUGCAGUCAGCUUUAACAGAUGGAUGCUGUGCAAAUCCAUGCAAAACUGACAGUGACGGCAAAUUGACUCCAAAACUGUUUAAUUGUGUUUGUGGUCCCUUUCUGCGCAGGUUGGGAUAGGUGGCAAUGCUGUGCACUGGAAAGGUAUUGCACUUGUCCCGGCCUGUUGAGGAUUGAGGAGAUUAUGCCCCUGAUGUAAAAUGCUUGACUUUGUAGUAUUGCAUUAAUGUUUCUCUAAAAUGCAUGAUUGGGUAUUUAAAAAAGAAUUUGAAUAAAACUGCUACAACAUGCACGGUUUCUCUACUGUGAUAUUAAAUAUUGGUGUGAAGGGGUACCAUUGUGUAUGUGACUAUAUUUCUGAGAGGCUUUCAUUUUGUUGUCUGUUUAUGAAUGCAUGAAGUCUUUUGUAUUGAGUGAAUAUUACAGUUUUUACUUUUUAAUAAAAUAAAAUCUGAAUUUAAUUUGAGCCAAUCAGAUGUGCGCUUCACUAUUUUGCCCUUGGAUGGGAAGUGCAGAAUCUGUGGAAAAGUAUUCAAAUUCUAGAUUGUUUGUAUAAAUUCUGCAAUCUGAAAAGCAUUGAAUUGUCCUCAAGGAAUUGUUCAGGCUUUUGUAUUUAUCUCUGGGACAAACAAAUGCUACAAUGCUUACUUUUUUAUAUACUGUUGUUUAAUGUAGCCUAAAUAAAUUGUCAUUGAGAA